rnacentral:rRNA from 1 species
AUUGAACGCUGGCGGCAGGCCUAACACAUGCAAGUCGAGCGGAGCGGCGGACGGGUGAGUAAUGCCUAGGAAUCUGCCUGGUAGUGGGGGAUAACGUCCGGAAACGGGCGCUAAUACCGCAUCCUAUCAGAUUAGCCUAGGUCGGAUUAGCUAGUUGGGGGGGUAAAGGCCUACCAAGGCGACGAUCCGUAACUGGUCUGAGAGGAUGAUCAGUCACAAGGGAACUGAGAAACGGUCCAGAGUCCGACGGGAGGCAGCAGUGGGGAAUAUUGGACAAUGGGCGAAAGCCUGAUCCAGCCAUGCCGCGUGUGUGAAGAAGGUCUUCGGAGUGUAAAGCACUGUAAGUUGGGAGGCGUUACCAACAGAAUAAGCACCGGCUAACUGCGUGCCAGCAGCCGCGGUAAUUC